rnacentral:ncRNA from 1 species
GCCGGUUCCGAAGGAACAGGCUAAGAGGGAAACCGGUGCAAAGCCGGUGCGGACCCACCACUGUAUGCGAGGACAAGCAAGCGGAGCUGCCAUUGUCAAACCGAUGAGAAGGCGCCUGCGAGGAAGAAUCGCGAGCCAGGAAACCUGCAUAAGA